CCGUACCCAUCAGAGGGGGAUAACACUUGGAAACAGGUGCUAAUACCGCAUAACAGUUUAUGCCGCAUGGCAUAAGAGUGAAAGGCGCUUUCGGGUGUCGCUGAUGGAUGGACCCGCGGUGCAUUAGCUAGUUGGUGAGGUAACGGCUCACCAAGGCCACGAUGCAUAGCCGACCUGAGAGGGUGAUCGGCCACACUGGGACUGAGACACGGCCCAG
rnacentral:rRNA from 2 species